GACGUAGGGUGCGAGCGUUGUCCGGAUUUAUUGGGCGUAAAGAGCUCGUAGGCGGUUUGUCGCGUCUGCUGUGAAAACGCGAGGCUCAACCUCGCGCCUGCAGUGGGUACGGGCAGACUAGAGUGCGGUAGGGGAGAUUGGAAUUCCUGGUGUAGCGGUGGAAUGCGCAGAUAUCGGAGGAACACCGAUGGCGAAGGCAGAUCUCUGGGCCGUAACUGACGCUGAGGAGCGAAAGCGUGGGGAGCGAACAGG
rnacentral:rRNA from 1 species